UACGAGGGGGGCGAGCGUUGUUCGGAAUUAUUGGGCGUAAAGAGCUCGUAGGCGGUGUGUCACGUCGGCCGUGAAAACCUGCAGCUUAACUGUGGGCGUGCGGUCGAUACGGGCAUCACUGGAGUUCGGCAGGGGAGACUGGAAUUCCUGGUGUAGCGGUGAAAUGCGCAGAUAUCAGGAGGAACACCGGUGGCGAAGGCGGGUCUCUGGGCCGAUACUGACGCUGAGGAGCGAAAGCGUGGGGAGCAAACAGG
rnacentral:rRNA from 1 species